AGAACCCCCGGGGAUGCCUCAGUAGCGGCGAGUGAAGCGGCAAGAGCUCAGAUUUGAAAUCGUGCUUUGCGGCACGAGUUGUAGAUUGCAGGUUGGAGUCUGUGUGGAAGGCGGUGUCCAAGUCCCUUGGAACAGGGCGCCCAGGAGGGUGAGAGCCCCGUGGGAUGCCGGCGGAAGCAGUGAGGCCCUUCUGACGAGUCGAGUUGUUUGGGAAU
rnacentral:rRNA from 1 species